ensembl:snoRNA
UUCCAAGGUGAUCCUUUUCCCCAGGGGCUAACUAGUAACCUCAAACCUCCAGAAAUAUAGCAAGCUGGGAUAAUAUCCAGCAGGCCUAAGAUCUUUGUAGAUAAGGGGACAUUUCCUUUUGGCCUUUGACUGCCUACAUGG